GUGGGGAAUCUUGCGCAAUGGGCGAAAGCCUGACGCAGCCAUGCCGCGUGGAUGAUGAAGGUCUUAGGAUUGUAAAAUCCUUUCACCGGUGAAGAUAAUGACUGUAGCCGGAGAAGAAGCCCCGGCUAACUUCGUGCCAGCAGCCGCGGUAAUACGAAGGGGGCUAGCGUUGCUCGGAUUUACUGGGCGUAAAGGGCGCGUAGGCGGACAGUUAAGUCAGGGGUGAAAUCCCGGGGCUCAACCUCGGAACUGCCUUUGAUACUGGGUGUCUUGAGUAUGAGAGAGGUGUGUGGAACUCCGAGUGUAGAGGUGAAAUUCGUAGAUAUUCGGAAGAACACCAGUGGCGAAGGCGACACACUGGCUCAUUACUGACGCUGAGGCGCGAAAGCGUGGGGAGCAAACAGGAUUAGAUACCCUUGUAGUCC
rnacentral:rRNA from 1 species